CCAUUUCCUCCUCAUCUGUAUAUAGGGCUACCAAAGCUACCUUCCUCAUAAGGUUAUGUGAGGACCAAGUGAAGUGAUACCAGCAGAGACCUAGCACAGCCCUGGGCACAUGAUAGGAGGAGAGGUGACAUGUCUCACUCUGAGCAGCUUGGGAAUUCAGAUGUGCAGUGAGGAGAAUGGAGGAGCCUGGCGCAUUUUGGACUGUGGCUCUCCUGACAUUGAAGUCCACACCUAUCCCUUCGGAUGGUACCAGAAGCCCAUUGCUCAAAAUAAUGCUCCCAGUUUUUGCCCUUCGGUUGUUCUGCCUUCCCUCACAGAGAAAGUGUCUUUGGACUUGUGGCAGUCCCUGGCCCUCUCUUCGGUGGCUGUUGAUCCAUCCAUUAGGCACUUUGAUGUUGCCCAUGUCAGCACUGCUGCCACCAGCAAUUUCUCUGCUGUCCAAGACCUCUGUUUGUCGGAAUGUUCCCAACAUGAGGCCUGUCUCAUCACCACUCUGCAAACCCAACCUGGGGCUGUGAGAUGUAUGUUCUAUGCUGAUACUCAAAGCUGCACACAUAGUCUGCAGGGCCAGAACUGCCGACUUCUGCUUCGUGAAGAGGCCACCCACAUCUACCGGAAGCCAGGAAUCUCUCUGCUUAGCUAUGAGGCAUCUGUACCUUCUGUGCCCAUUUCUACCCAUGGCCAGCUGCUGGGCAGGUCCCAGGCCAUCCAUGUGGGUACCUCAUGGAAGCGAGUGGACCAGUUCCUUGGAGUUCCAUAUGCUGCCCCGCCCCUGGCAGAGAGGCGCUUCCAGGCACCAGAGCCCUUGAACUG
rnacentral:sRNA from 1 species